CCCCUCUACAGAUAUAUUUUGCCAACAUCAGGUAGACCACAUUUGGAUCUAGCCAUGAUAGAGAUGGAAAUCUUGGCAGCGACCCUCUCUUGACACUGAUUCCAUCUCAGAAGGCCCGAACAAGAUAAUGUAACUGGCAUAUGAGUUCAUAUAGAAGCUCAAAGUAGAUCACAGCUGAUACCUUGCAAAUCUGCACCAAGUACAGGCUAAAACAUGGAUUCGUUGUUGUUGAGUAAAAAGUAAUUGGAUAAUUUAUGGUAAAUUAUUUUACUAUAUAUAGAACCAAUAAUCAGUGAGACAGGGAAGGGUCUGAUGAGAUCACACCAUCCC
rnacentral:lncRNA from 1 species